UACGUAGGUGGCAAGCGUUGCCCGGAAUUAUUGGGCGUAAAGCGCGCGCAGGCGGCCUUACUUACGUCGAUGUGAAAGCCCACGGCUCAACCGUGGAGGGUCAUUGGAAACUGGGGGACUUGAGUGCAGGAGAGAAGAGUGGAAUUCCACGUGUAGCGGUGAAAUGCGUAGAGAUGUGGAGGAACACCAGUGGCGAAGGCGACUCUUUGGCCUGUAACUGACGCCGAGGCGCGAAAGCGUGGGGAGCAAACAGG
rnacentral:rRNA from 1 species